rnacentral:rRNA from 1 species
UCGCGAAUAGCUCAUUACAACAGCCAUAGUUUAUUCGAUCUUACUCUAACUUGGAUACCUGUGGUAACCUAAGAGCUAAUACAUGCAACUGAGUCCUGACUUAACGGGAAGGACGCAUUUAUUAGAAUAAAACCAAUCGGGUCCGCCCGUUUUUUGGUGAAUCUGAAUAACUAUCGCUGAUCGCACAGUCCUCGUACUGGCGAUGUAUCUUACGAAUGUCUGCCUUAUCAACUUACGAUGGUAGUAUACACGGCUACCAUGGUUGUGACGGGUAACGGAGAAUUAGGGUUCGACUCCGGAGAGGGAGCCUGAGAAACGGCUACCACAUCCAAGGAAGGCAGCAGGC